AUGGUGUGUCCAUCAGUUCUACUCGCACGAGUAGACGUCAAAUCACGCAAGUGGGAAGGUCCCCGAUGUAUAUUCAGUUCAACAUCUGGUGCUUCUUUAGUUCAUCGUAGUGUGCAUUUUCACUUCAUCUUGCAGGUUUUUUCCCCGUGGAUCCAGCACCUGUUCCUCGUGACCUACAGCAGCAGGAGACACGAGGUCACCUCCAGCGCCGCUGGUCACGUGAACGCCGUCAAAAAAUGGUGGUCAGUCCAGCUCCUGCAACCAAUACAGGUCGUUGCCCCUUUUGCCACAACGGCAGCAGCACGAACACGAAUGUGGUCGUCCUCAACCAGUUCCUCACGCGGCCUCCACGCAAGCCCUGCUCAUGUAUGCUUACACCAAAAGUGCUUACUUGAAGGGGUAGUCACGGUGCCGAUACUAAAAAAUGGAUGA
rnacentral:rRNA from 1 species